UUUUUUUUUUUUUUUUUUUUUUUUAUCAAGGAAGAGUUCUAAUAGCUACAAAAGGGAUUCUAAUUUCUAUAAGUUUAGAUUGUGGUUCAUCGGCCUGGAGCCCCAAAAGAACACCAGAGGAGAGAGAGGGCUAGAUUUGGACCAGAUGCAAUUUCAUUCAGUUGUCCGAAACUAAUUGGAAGCAGGGAUCAGAAAUUUUCUAGAAAAAAGUUCCGGCCUAUGACUUAAUUUAAUUGCACAGUUCUCCUCAAAAAAAUUCCUUUUUAAUUGUAAAGUUUCAAAGCUUAGGUGUAUUACUUGAAGUCUUUUUUUUUUUUUUUUGUCAAAAUAUUACUUGAAGUCAUAACAACGUGAUUGACUGAGCUUAUUUUUCAAAAGCUGUGCAAAAAAGUACAUUGAUUUCCACGGUAAAGUAUUCAAGACGAGAUUUUGACUAUUGAGGAUUCAAAUUUCAGAUACAGAGUGACAUCUACGGACACAGGGAGGGGAAAAUAAGUCCAGCACAAGUUGGUUUAACUGAUAAGGAUAAAUUAUUUACUUACAAAAAGUCAUAUGUUCGAAUUUCAUUCUUGAUAUGAGAGUUAAAUUGAUAGAUAAUCUGUAACAAUCUCUGUAAAUGACUUAUAGUUUCAGAGGCACGUUCUGAUCCGUAGUGAUAAUUGAAAUUAAAUCCAUCUGAACUUUUUCGUAUCACAAAAAAAUAAGUCUAAAAUAUAUGUUCUAACCCGUAGUGAUGAUUGAAGUUGAAUUCAUUCGAAUAGGGCUGCUAACUAGUUAUCUCAAUUCCAAAUAGUGCACUAUUCGAAUAAAAAUACUUGAGUUCAAACAUAUCAAGUUCUUCAAAGUUGAGUUUGAACUCGAACUCAAGUUUGAUUUUAUUUAAUCUUACUCGAACUUGAGAUUGAACUCGACCAAAUCGAGCUCAGUCGAAUUUAUUCGAGUUUAAGCAAGUUUUCAAACUCAAUUUUUUUUAAUAAGUUUUAUAAUAUUAUAAAUACAUUACUUGACAAGGUUGAACGUAGAGCUGUAAACGAACCGAAUCGAAUCGAGUAUCUCAUGUUUGACCUCUGUUCGUUAAACGAUUCAAACAACGUUCGUGUUCGUUCGUUAAUUUUCGAACUCCAAAUCUAUGUUCGUAUUCGGCUCGUUAAACAAAAUUCAUGUUCGAAUUCGAGUUCGUGUUCGACUCGUUUAACAUAAACGAGCCAUUCGCGAACAUGCUCGAAAUGCUCGAAUCCAAAUUAUUUUAAAUCUUAAAUAUGCCAUACAAAUCAUUAAUCAUUCUAAAAAAUAAUUAAAAUACUAAGUGACUAAAUUCUAUUAUUCAUUAACUAUAUAACUAACAUUAACAUAAAAAUAACAAAUAAAACCCUCCAAAUAUAAAAGUCUAGCUAUAAAAUUAACCCUAAAAUUUAUCAAAUGAUAAUUAUGUCCAUGUUCGCGAACGUUCGUUAAAACUCGCGAACAUGCUCGUAUUCGCUCGAUUAUUAAUCGAACAAAAAAAUUCGUUCGAACUCGGUUCGUUUAAGGUUUCGAACGAGUCUUUCACGAACACGAACGUGUCGAAACGAACCGAGUUACCAAACAGUUCGAUUCGUUUUAACAGCUUUAGUUGACCGGUACUCAGAAUUUUAGUAUAAUCUAAUUAUUUUAUCAAGUAACUACGUGGCACGCUUUAGAUCCAUUGCAUGUCAAAUUAGAUAGUAGUUCUCAUAACAGCCAGAUCAUUUCUAAAUUUGUGCCUUAGUUUAUAAGCAUAUAGGAAUAUCUGUUUGGUUAGAAGAAGAAGCAACUAGUUUUGUCUUUAGUGGGUAAAUCAUACGAUUAGACAAAAUAUUCCGCGAAAGAACCCCGAGAUUCUCCACCCAUUGCUAGGCUGUUGCCUGGCAUGUUGACGAAUUAUGACCAACUCCCCUCGCGAGGAAACUUCACACGAAGACUCUCUUUGAUUAAUCAAAUACACAUGCGUUGAUGAAUCACAAUCAUACAUACCCCACACCUCACUCUUCUUCUUCUUCUUCUUUGAUAUAAUAGUAGUACUUUUCAUGCUGGACGAAGUCAUAUGCAAAGAAUGAAAAUUUUGAUUUUGACAACCCAACCAAGAUUUGAUACAUUGACCAAAUUCCUCGAAUUUUUCAUUGCAAAUGUAUAUUCAGCGAAAAAGUACCGGAUGUGAACAAAUUAGAACAUGUUAUUUGUUAUGAGUGAAGUUGCUUUCGUCUAGGAAAAUUUGUGGGCGGUCAAUUUGAAUACAAUCCGCUGUGGCUUGCUGCUGCUUUGUGUUCAUAUGGUUUCUGUUCUCUUUUGUGUCCAUUUCUUUUGCUUGUUCCCCCGCAAAAAGACCACCGUGAAAAGCAAGGUAUGGACUAAUACAAGUAGAAGUCAAAUUGAUAGUCAAGAAAAGGACUUUUUAUAUGAUGGACUAAUAUUGCGUAUAUAAGUGGAAUAAAGUCUUUCAUUUUUUUGUUUUAAAAAAAAAAGACUUUCUUUUUUUUAAGUGAAAUAUAGUGGGCUAGUUUUUCAAAUACAAUAAAAACUUUUAAAAAGUACUCUAAAAGAUAAUCUAAAAAUUACUUUAAAUUUUUUUAAAUUUUAAAAAAUAUUUCAAAAUAUAUUCUAGAAAAUUUUCUACUCUUAAAUAUCCCAAAAUAUUUUCUAAAAAAUCCCAAAAUAUACUCUAAAAACUCUGCUACAGCAAAAAAAUUUUAAAAACACCCCCAAAAAACAGCUAAUCCAAACGGAGCCUAUACACAACUCUAUUAGAUAGAAGCAAAAUAAAAGAUUGACUCACCUCCUAGUUUUUAAUUAUCCCUACGACGAUUGUUUCUAUAGCAUAGAUAUGUUGUGAAAAGCAUUAAAUGACUUUUUAAAGCUGAAUUUUUUCAAAAAAAAAAGAGUUAUGCACUAAAAAUAAAAGAGAAAAAUAAUCAAUUCAAAUGUUUGAUAUGACUAUGAUUCAAGUCUAUACUUAGACAAGAAACUUGAGAGGUAGUUUCAAGGCCUUAAUUUCUACCAAUCAAGUUUUUUUUUUUUUUUUUUUUUUGUAAAUGAAAGGAUUUAAAUUCAAAACUUUUUACUUACAACUCUACUAAUCUAUUAAUAAUUUUUUUUUUUUUGAAGUGGGGCGGGGCGGGGGUUGGGGCUGGUGCGGCAUGGGGGGAUGGGGAAGUUUGAUGAUGCAAGGGCCGUAAGCCCCAUUAAGCGCCCGUUCCCACGAAGGAGACCAGUUGACUACCCGAGAAGGAAUCACAGUAUACGACAAGGCCACCGACCUUUUCAUAUUUUGGACUGUCUUGUGAAUUGCAAUUGUCCCGAUUCUACGUCAAGUAAAUCUUACAAAGGCCCAUCUUACAAAUCGCGCCCCCUUUGCAAAUAAGCUUCGCAAUCUGAUCCAAACCAAAUCAGAAAUGGCUUUUUUGAUAAUCUUACUUUGCAAUUGUGAGUGAAACGUGGCCCAAAAUCUCACCGUUUACUUGCAAAAAAUUCCUUUUUUUUCCUUGGUCAAUUGAGAGAUGAUUUUGUGUUUGCGAUUAUUAUCUUGAAAUUGAAGCCCCACACUUUCAAGAGCUUAAGAAUCCACUGUAAUGUGAAAUCUUCAGUCCUUUAUAUCCAAAAAGAUCAAUUGUUUGUUUUCGAUCUUCCUUAAAUUAAAACAAAAUAUCAUUCAUGUUGAUAUCUUAAUUGGAAAAAAGAAAAAGUUAUCAUGGUAGAUCCAAAUCCAUUGACUUAUUCAUUGAUGGCUCUGCUUGGAUUGAGACAAAAUAUGUUUUUUUUUUUAAAUUUAUGGAGUCUAUGGUAACAAACACAAAAAAUAACUCCAAAAAUACACAAAAAAAAAAGUAAAAGUAAAAGUAAAAAUAAACUUUAAACUUCUUUCUUCUUCCACACAUCACUCAUCUCACCAUCACUGCUACCUUUCUCUCGUUUUUUUUCCCCUCUUUCUCUCUAUCCCUUUCCUCCUCUCUUCCCCCCCUCUUUCUGUCCCUUUCCUCCUCCCUCUCCCUCUUUCCUCCCUCCCUUCUCCUCCUUUUCUCUUUUUGGUCGCAACCGUUGUGACCAAAGAAGGAGAGAGAGGAGAGGAGGGUUGCAGGGAAGGCAGGAGAGGGGAGGGAUGAAAGAGAGAGAGGGUGAAGGGGAAGAGGAAGGAGAAGAAAGGAAGGGCAGUGGUGGCAAUAGAGGAGGGAAGCAAUAGUGGUGAGUGGUGAAAAUUUUUCAAAAAUUAAAAAUAUCUUAAUAAAAUUUUAAAUUUUAAAAAUAUUUCAAAAAAACGUCUUGAGAAACAUUUAAUCCAAAUAGACAAUCUAUAUGAAUUGUUUUUCACGUACAUCGUUUCAGUAAAAUUUUUAACAAACACUUCCUAAAAACUUCUAAUCUAUAUGGAGCCGGUAUUAUAAGUUUAUUUCUUAAAUUCCCAAUAAUUGGAUAUACAAUUAAGACAUCAUUUUUUUCCCUCUCCUUCUCAUUACCAAUUCAUCAAAUUUGAAGUUAGUUAUACAUCUAUUCCCUGCUACAUGCUAGUACGACCUUUAAUUGGGCUGGUUAUGGGGUGCUCAUUACCUUCUAAUCUUAUGUAUAAACGGUAUAGGCAUUCGCAUAACUUUGAAGUCGUCAAAUAUUUGCUCAGCAUGCUUACCUGCUAAGAUCAUCACUCAGCUCUAAUCGCUCAAUGAUGUACCAAGCAAUUUGAUCCAAUGUAACAGCAGAAGCAAUGAAAGGGAUUGGCUGCAGAGUUUAAUACAUUAGUAGCAGUGCCAGACCAAAAACUUAUAAUAGGAAAUUGACAAUGUAAUUAUUCAGUGGUGUAUGCAGAACCAACCCACCUCAAAGAGUGAGUGCCCAACUGAGCACUAAGUCCCACCUGGUGAGCUCCUAGUAGCGUUCACAAUCUCCAGUCCUUUUCUGAGUUAGGUAAGUUACAUAUAUUCUGAACACGAGGCUUACUUUCCAAGGCAAAACGCUCACGAAUCCAUCCAUUAAACAUGGGAAGUUAAGUGCUCCUAUGUAAUGAUGACUAAUGAGUUUGCGUGGAUUGAAUCAGUCCCCUCCCCAUUUUACAUUCAAGGAUUAUGCCUUCUCUCCACUUCCAACGACCAACUCAAAUACCCCUUGGAUUAUAUGAUUUGGUCUUGAUGCCAAAAAGAGUACCCCUGUAAAGUGAUAACAAAAUUCGGAAUUGACACAAGAAAAGCACUUUGAAUUGUUGAUUAAUCGUCAGAGAUGGCUUAGAAACCACUAGUUCAUUAUCAAAUGGAGGUCCCCAAAGAAAAUUUCGCCAGAAAGAAAGACUCAGAUGCCUCCAGUCUAGACAAUUGACAUAAUUAAUUAAUGAAGAGCGACUAGUUGAUGGGGGGGAAACAUACAAAAGAGAGUAAUGCAUGGUUUACUUUUCUCCAACUAACCUUGUUGCAUUUGACAAUCAUAAAAUAAUGAAAUGGAAGACUUGGAAGUUGCCAAUGCGACCUCAUUAGGUAGACACAGACUCAGAAAGCACAAAUAUAGAACUUCCCAAGUUCAAAGCUGUAAUGAAGUGGGCCGAUGACUCGGAACCAUAAAUUCUUACCAUAUAUUGUUGAUCUGAACUGGUGAUAGAUAGUCACUGCUUUUUUCUAAGUGAUCUUGUCGCUGAUAUGAUAGCUAGUCUGUAGAUUAGCGACUUGAUCACCCUGAAACCCAAAAACAAAAGUACCUAUGACUAGUCAUCGAUAAAUGGACAUCAACUUGAAAGCGUCGUCGAAGUUUCAUCGGUAAGAAAAUUGUACUCAAGAAAAGCUUGUUCUUAUAAUUUAAAACCCUUUGACAAAGUUCUGUACCAGAAGUUAUACCGUAUACGUCACAAUUCAAAAGGACGCCGGGGAAUCAUUAAUUUUCCUCUCCAGAAGACAAUCUUGAUGCACAAUUUUGGAUUGUCAUUUUUCUCCAAAAAAUUUUUUAUGUUUUUCGAGAACACAGUUUUCAGUCAUCCUUUUUACCUCAAAUACAUUAAAUUGUUACAAUAAUUUUUUCUACAAAAAUUUCAAAAAAUAGCAAUCCAAACAGGUUCAAAAAUUGCAAGUUGGUUAAUCUUGUUUUCUUGAUGAUCUUGUGGGAUGAGUUGAUCAAAGUUGUAAAGCAACGCCAAGAGAAUGACAGGGCUAAUUAAUUCUGUGGACUAAACGCAUAUUAACCAUACUUGUCCUAGUAAUCAAAAAAAUAUGGCAUCAAAAUGGUUUAAAGCAUGAAGUCAGGCCAGAAACAGGGAAAUUGAAUGACCUCUUAAUGUCCAUUUUACAUGAAUACUUCAACUUCUAACCAAACCCAAGGACUUUGAUCUAGUCAAUUGAUGUUUAUUUCUUCCCAACAUUAGGUUGAUCCUAGCAUAACCUUCAUGUUAGGUAUCAGUCUAAAAAUACAAAUUUGAGAGGCCUCAUGGAAACUCAUUGUCGGAAGCUUCCGGGGGCACUAUACAAGGACCCAAUUGCAAGUUUUAGAUAAUUUCGUAGAUUCUCUGUUGAGCAGCCUAAUGGAAAAUUGUACGUACUGUUAAAUCCAAUUUUUCUUCGUUGUUGAACAACAUUUCGUUGCCUUCACAGGUUCACUGGUCGAUUGUUCUGGAUCAUCUCUCAAUUAGCUUUCUUAACGCUCCAGAAAUUGCUUUCUUGAUGCUUCUGACAAAUCAAAACGUGGGGGAAAAUGGUGUCCAGUUCCAGUGUUGAAUGUUGCAAAUGUGUUGCUUGUUCCCAUGCAGUCGUCCAGAGAAGCAAGAUGGCAGUUUAGAUAUGAUCAUAUGGAGAAGUGAAGGAUGUGAUCACUUAGAUGUUAGUCGGAUGACGCGGAGAGCUUCGCAAAAAAGACAUUAUUGUGAAAACUUACUUUGAAUACUUGGCUCCAUGAACAUACUUGUAUUGGGAUUUAUUAGUUUGUUUUUAUAACAAAUAAAAAUUAUAGAUAAUUUAUAGAAAUUGGUUUUACAGUUUUGCAAAAGUAUUUUUUUCCUUGUUUUUAUAAACUUGUAAACCUUUUGAUUACGUGCUACAAUUUUAUGAGCCAUUUGUAAAUGGACAGGCGAAUGUAUAACGUAGAGAUUAAACAAGAUUAAGUGGGUGCUGAAUGGGUAAACAUACUUAGUUGGUGCUUAUUAGUAUAAGAGUGCAUUCGAUUCAAAUCGAGUUUGAAUAGUGUACUAUUUUAGCUCAACUCGAGAUAAAAUAUCUAAAUUUCAGCUCAUCAAGUUUAUAAAAGCUAAAUCCGAACUUCAGCUCAAGCUGGAGCUCAAGUGUAAUCUAGAGUAAUCAAGUUUAAGUGAGCCCAAUCGAACUUACAUAAUAUACAUUAAUAUUUUAUAUAGUUUUAAAUAAGGGAUAUAAUUGACAUUUUACACUAAUAAAUAUAAAAGUUUUGAAAAAUAAAUAUACAUUAGAAGUCCAAUUAAACUUGAUGAGCCUACUAUCUUAACAUUUCAUUGUUCGAACUAAACUCGUGUAGGCAAACGAGCAGCUCGAGUUCAAUCAACGCCGAACAUGAGUUACUUAUAAGUUCAAGCCGAGUUAUUUGAUGAACUUGCAUACCUACUUAUUAGGUAUAGUGAGCAGUCUAAAUUAACUUAUUAAGAAUAAAUUAAGAACUCUAUAAUGUUACAAGAGCGACAACCCCACCGAAAAAUGGCUUUAUACUACAGAAAAGAUAGCUGCAUCAAUAGUAAAAAUACUCAAACGGAGCAGGUUUGCCGUUUAUACGUACGUCAUUUAGUAUAUUCUGGAGUUAUAUAGUCAUGGUGAUGUAAUACAAAUGACGUUAGAAAUUUUGCAAAUACAAAAAAGAAAAACCCAUGCAAGUUUUGAACAUUUCACGUGAUUUACAAAUGAAUUUUCCCGAGUAUUUUCACACAAAUAUAUAAGAGAGACUGCCAUGUUACGGAUCCCGUAAUAUCCCCUUGGCCAAAGCCCAGAGAUGUGCAUGUGUAAAUGUACUUUUCUUGAUGGGAACUGCUCUCCCUCCGAUCAAGCAACAGAAUGUGCAGAAAAAGAUAUGGGCCCACUGGAGUGUUACUCGUCCUAAGAAACCUGCAUGGAUCAGUUGACACGCGUAGGACAACAUUAAAGUUUGUACCUUUAUUGCUUCCUGUUUGGACCCAUGUUUUCAGCUGGCGAAUUAACUCUAGGUUUUCUGUCCCGCGUUGUUCAAUAACACUCGUUGACGCAUCUAAAAUUCGCAUACCAUGUACUUCCUUUUUUUUAUAACUGACGUUUAAGGUUUUGCACACCAAUUAAGAAAAUUUUUUUAUUGCUUAAAUCUGUACACUACUUUCCUUUUGUACCCUUAUUAAUUGUCCAAUUCACCCCUGUUUUCUCUCACUAGAGUACUAAAUGGUGCUGUUUUACUAGGUCAAAAGCAAUGCAAACUAACUCCCACCAAACUAAAUAUUUCUAAAAUGAAACUAAAUGUUUCUAAAAUGAAAAACUUUCCCACCAAAGAUGGUUGAAUUGCAAGUGGUUGAUGCGGAGGGAGGCGGUGAUGGAGAAGAACAAAGGGAGUUCAACAUACUGCGAGAAAAGAAGAAAGAAUACGGAGGGGCAGAUAAUUACUAGGGUUGUUACAAAGAGAGAAGCAAUAAUUACUAGGAGUAGUAAUUAAGAACCCUGUAUUGGAAAAGAGAGAUAAAAGGGUAAAAUUGUGAAAAAAUAAUUAAUACUGUAUGGGGAUAAUAAAACGACAGAUAAAAGUACACUAGAUCAAAUUUCUUACACGUCAGUUAUAAAAAAAGGGAGAGAGUCAUUUUGAUGAAUUGCUUGGUAGGUUGUAGGUGCAUAUUGGCUUCUUGGAGUUGGUUCGGAUGAUUUUGGGUAACCUAAUUAGGUCUUGAGAUUGUGUGUUCGAAUCAUUUCUGUAUCGCUUUUGUAUCCUUGGGGGCGAGGUGUACAGGCGGAGCAGGAAGAUUAGUCAAGUAAAAUUAGGAUACUCCCUAUAUUAAAUUUUUUUUUGUAUAUAUGCAUAUUGUAGUUAUUACCCUUUCCUACAUUUAUAUAUAUUUCAAAUUUAAUCUUACCUUUUUUUUCUUGCAUUUAUUUACUUUAUCUAAUUAAUCUUACAUUUUAAAAAACAUGACAUCUAAAGUAAAUCUUAACGAGUACCCAUUAAAUACCGUUUGACAAACCCAUUAAUUUUUAAGACAUAUUGAUUUACAAAAUUAGCGGCUAACAAACUCUCUAUUAACUACUGCUACUUACGACUUUGUGACUGUAGUGAAAUUCCCAUGUAGUUCUAUGUGUUCAAAAAAUUGGGUUUUUUUUUUUUGUUUUAAUGAGAUUGAGCAUUAUUAUGGAAUUAUAAAAUCCCUAAAACAUCAAACAGAAAUAUUUUUUUGUUGUUGUUGCGAAAACAAAAGGAUGCCUUACCUAGCAAACACGUCAACAGGACAAACUUUUCUCUUUUUAAAUUUUAAAUUGGGGACUCGUCAUGCUAGACAAUCAUUACCAAAACUUUUUUUUAAUAAAAUGUGUCAUGGAUAAUUUUCUUGUUAAUUUAUUACAACAUUACAUGGAUAGAAGCAUUCUACUUCCAAUGCUCAUGAGUUGCCACAAAGUCCACAAUAUUUAAGAUGAUUUCUACAUCAGUUCUCGUUUACGCACAAACAUACACAAAUGCCACUAAUUAAUUUAGACACGUUCAUAAUAAACAAGCUCGAAGAGGAUUGGAUUGGGUGGUUUUUUUUUUUUUUAAAAAAAAAAGGAAGUAAACAAGCUCCUGUAAUUAAUUUCAUUCUAACCUGGUUUUGUGCGAAGUAUCAUGAAACAAAAAGUUGCUUAAGCUAACCGGAGAAAGAAAAUAAAGUGUUGCUAUCGAAGUAAAACUAUGAAUUUGAGUAGCAAAGUUGCUUUAAUAGUAACGGAUGGAAAUCAAGAUCUAUGAAUCCAAAGUGAAAGAAGUGAGAAUUUACCUGAAGCUUUAUAUGUGUGUGAUUGCGUAAAAAGUUAUUCUGUUUGUCGAUAUCAUAUAAUUACCAGCAGUUUCUGUCCAUCAUGUAUCACAUGUGGUGACUACAGCAGUAUCUCUUUUCCCCUUAAUCUGUCAGUUUAGUCUUAUAAUCUUAUUUAUGGCUCUUCUCGCUGUAAAUGAAUUAAAGUGCUCGACAAUCAAGAAAGUAAAAAUGCAUGCUUUCUUUGAGCUGCUUUUUUUUUUUUUUUUUUUUGGGGUUCCUCACAUUUUUGUGCCCUUCUUCUCCUUUGUUUUGGAGGAGAGCAGAAUGAUGCUGAAGUGAGUUCAUAAAUCUAACUUGACAAAAUCUUUCAUGGCUGUUAUUAUCUUCGCAGAAGUGUUUGGUCUGAUAGAGAUUUUUGAUGUAACGCUCACAUAGGAAUCUACUCGAUAUUGAUUUCGAUCUUGUUGCUUGCUCUAUUUUUUGUCCGAAUCUUAAAAAUACAUCCCGCAAGUGGUCAGAUCAGAUGCGUCUUUUCAGCUUUGCCAUCCAGCUUCAAAAAGCUGAAACGCAUUCUACAUUAUUGAAUGAAAGAACUGUCAAAGGAAAGAUCAUAAGCAGCAUUACCAAGCCACAGCUUCACAGGCAAGGCAAACAAUUAGUUUAAGUUAAGUGGGUCUAAUUUUACUGCUCCAGAAUUCAAUGAACUACACAGGCUACAACCUCGUACAUGUUAAUUAUCGAGAUUUCGAACUUAAUGAAGCUCCAAAAUCCAAAACAAUAUCGAAAAGUUUCAGCACUUCAUCGAUUUCCCAAAUCUUUAUACUCAUAUUUAACGUGCAUCUUAUUAACAAUAUGCUACUUCAUUAGUUAAACAUUUUAAUUGCUUGAACUACAUAUUUCAAAUUUUCACGUUUUAGUCUGUGUGAAAAUAAAAAUAAGAAUAUCUUUGUGAGACGGAGGGAGAAAAUAUAAAAAACAGAGUCUCAUGAAUGAAAAUCUUUUGGGUUACGUUUAAUUUAGUGGAAAUAAUAACUGUCUUUAAUCUGCAAACUGUAUACCAUGCAAACCGAUGAGAUGACAAUUUGUGAAUGUUUCGGUUUUUGCAGCAUGUUCAUUCGUUCAUUCAUUCUCUAUGGAUGAAAGUUUUUGAGAGAGAGAUUUCAAAAGCCGAAGAAGCAUCUACUACUUUUCUUUCCCCUUCUCUUCAACUUAUAAUUUUCUGGAUUGGGAUUUUGGGUUACUUAUAGCUGCCUAUUCUUGGAGUCUUGGGUCUGAAUGUGAAAGAGGAGGGAUUUCCUUUUUCUUUAUUUAUUUUUUUAUAUCCUUUAUAAUCUUUCUAUAGCAUCAAAUUUUUCUUUGUUUUUUUCCAGCGGGCCGCAGGGUAAUUAAUUACCAAUUACCUACUACAAUUUAUUUGUCAGCCUCAUUUCUUCUAGAUAACCAAACUGCACCGUCAUUAACUCUCGAUAUCAAUCAAUGACGACGAAUUGGACUGAGUAAAAACCUACUCAGUCAGGCCGAUUGCAGGCCAAAUAACAAAGGAUUUCUAUUCCGCAUGCAUUGGGCGCCAUGCUCAAUCAAUCGAUGCUGCUUUCUUAACCUUAUACCUUGAUAUCUAUGCUCUUCUCUUUCAAGUCUUCACCUAUAUAUAUAUAUAUAUAUAUAUAUAUAUUAUUAUUAUUAUUAUUAUGUUAACGGGUGAGAAAGGAGGACCUGUUAACCAUUGGGACUUGACAUGGCAGUAACAUUUCACGUUCAUAGAAUUGGCAGAUGGCAACCAAAGUCAAAAUUGCAGCAUUAUGUCAUUGUGUUCUUGUAUUUUAAUCCGACUUUGUGUGUUUGGAUUGUCGAUUAUUUCACUUUAUUUACAUCUUAUUUACACACACUGAUUUGCUUGCAUCAUCAACACAUUUUUCAAUCACCUUUUUAUCUCACAUAUAUCACAUCAAAAAAGUGCUAUCAUACUUUUUCACAAAAUUAUCUCAAAUAAUUUACAAUCCAAACACAGAUAAUAGUUUUCUCAUUUCAUGGACCCCUUCUAAUCAGAGAUUACUCGUUAAAGACACUACUUUGUUUGGGACACCAGACAUUAUCGUUCAGCUUAAUUACUAUAUUACAUUUCAUUUAAUAAGUUCACAUCUUAAAAUAUUUAGACACAUUUAAUAAUAAAAAAAAUAUUUUAAUUAAUUAAGCGACACUUAAUUUUUUUUAGGCAGAACUUACUUCAAAAAAUAAUUGAUAAUAUAUUCACUUAAUUAUGACUUAAUGCAAAAUAUACUUAAAUGUUAGGAUUUUAAUAGUUAAUAAUUUAAUAACUUCAUAUGCCUCAGAUCUUAGAUUUCAAUUUUAGACUUUAGUUUUAUGAAACGCAUGUAUUAAUGAGAAUUUACUAAUUUUCCGUGAAACUUUAUAAAUUAUCAUAUAGUAAACUUCUUGCAUUGAGCCAAAAAAAAACCCCCAUAGUUUUGAUACCUUGUCAUGCCAAUUUUUCUCUUCUUCUAUUGAGGCAUUAAAAACUUUUUUAAAGUACAUAUAUGUGGCAUUUUAUUAAUAAAUACUGAUAAGUAUGCCAAUUUGCCAAAGUAAUUAAUUCACUCGUUCAAAGGUGACAUCUCCAUAAACUUCAAACAUUUUUGGUGCCGCUGCAUUUUCAAUGGCUUACUCGGUGCCACCGAAUUUGGAUAGUGAAAGCCACCCGUCUAAAUGCUUGUGCUAAUUAAUAAACUUUUUUUAGUGAUUUUUUUUUUUUGGGGGGGUGCCAACUGCCAAGACCAUGUGGAAAAUUUUAUGUGACAAUUUUGGUUCAAUCUCGAUGCACAGCUCACAUAUUUCUAAUCAUGAUUCACUAUGGAAUAUAUUGGUGUCGAAAGUCCUGUACUUCUCCUGAAAAAGAAAAAAGAAAAAAGAAAGCUUUUCGAAUUUUUAGUACAGCCUAAAUUAGUGAGCACAACUAGGAAUGCCAAUAUUCCAAUUCAAGUUGAUAUUCAAAAUUCUACAAAUAUUAAGAAAUUUGUUUUCAAUUGAUUCCGAUUUUUAAGAGGCCAAAUUUAGAAAUAAAAAAACCAGUACUUUGUAACUUUAGUUUAUUUUAAUUUUAAAAAAAGGUAAAUUUUGAAGCAAAAAGCAAUUAAGAAAAUCAAAUAACUUUUUUUCUAAAUUUAGAAGCUAAAAGCAAAUUAAAAAAAUCAAUCGAGAACAAACCCCUAGUAAAUAGUUUACCACCUUUUUUUUCUUUUGGAAGAGUUGGGUUAGGUCAUAAAAGAAGAGUGAUUGUAACUAAAAAAAACCUCCCACUUACCAAAAAAAAAAAUUAAAAAUUAAAAAUGUCACUUUAUUUUGGCAUAAGUUUCGUCAAACACAAGUAAAUAUGAUAAAAUCUGAAUAUAUUAAAUUUAAUUAUUGAAUUGAAGUAUUAAACAGCGCUUUAAAUGUUUCAUUAGCACAAUACAACAUAAUGUGAAGUAAAACAUUAUGCAAUUUUUUUUGAAAGAAAACAUUACGCAAUUCUGCUAAGCAAUAUCACUCUGCCUAAAUAGAGAAAGGGCAUCAAAAAUUGCAAUGCAUUAUUGUAUGUUGACUGGGGGACCAAUUUUCACCAAGUUAAAUUCCCUACCAUUUGUAUUCUUUUUCCAGCAAUAUUGAAACUCAUCAAUGGUAUAUAUAAAGUGGACAUAGUCACAACUAUUGGAAGUAAAGCUUGCAAAAAUAAAAGAAAAAGCACAAAAAAAGAUCCACUCUAAUUCUGGAAAUCAAUAAUUAACCUCUCCCUUCCCACAUAAUCUUGAUUUUGACAUCUUUAUUUUCUCCCCAAAACUACUUUUUCAAUUGGCUUGGUCCAUCCCCGUAGGAUUCUUCGGCCUGUUCCGCUCUACUUCAUACCAUACCAUGCCACUGUUUCAUCUCAGUAAUUGUAUAUAAAUGCUAACUCCACUUCUAUAACCGACCCAAACACCAAAAAGGCCUGAAAACAAUAAUAGAACCAUUACACAAAACACACCAAAAACUUUUUAGAUUUGGACUCUAAACUCAAGAAAGUGUCAAAAUUAGCCGACCCUUUUUCUAUAUUUCAUCAUAUUUUUCUGCCCAUAUGGGAUGCUAAAAUGUGUAAAGAUUUGAUAUUUCUUGGUGGGUUUUAGAGGGAUUUCGAAGGACGUGGUAGUGAUGCAGAAGAGGAAGUGGAAAACGGUGGUGCUGGUCAGAAAGUUGCUGACUUUGGCCAUAGGUGCAAUAGCUUUGGUGGCUUUGAUGUCAGUACAUGUUCAUCUGGGACUUUCUCCCUCUGCUGUUACCAGGUCGCUUACAACGGUAUUUCUGUUUUACUCUCUUUCUUCAUUUAUUUCUGCUUUCUUUUGAUAUUACUUAUUGAUUAUGUCAAAUGAAAUUUUGGGGUUUUGAAGUUAUUAGAGCAUUUAUGAUGUCUAUAUUGCAUUUUUCCGGUUUCUGAGGUAAUUUUGUAAUUUUUUCAAUCUAUUAGUAUUUGUUUGCUAGUUGCCUUUUUUUCCAACCCAAUUCAGUAGAAAGCAUCUUUCUUUCUUUUUUUUUUUGGGGGGGGGGGGGGGAGAAAGGAAUUUGGGAUGUCGGUUGCAAUCCGGUCGUUGAUACUGGUAUUUGAUUAAGUGAAAGUUCAUAUUUCGGCAUAGGUAUUUUUAUAUUUGAGAUUAGGUAGGAUCAUGGUGGAAAUUUAGUUCUCAUUGUUGCUUGUCUUGUUUUUGAAGAAUUUUACUGAUAUGGGUAAUUUUAAUCUUGUAGCAACAUGAAAUUAUGUCUCAGAACCUGCAAAGAGAGGAAAGAUGGAAUCAAGAUUUUUCUCCGCCUCAUUUACCAAAAUCUCCUCGCUUUCGCUCGGUGCUGUGCUUUUCCUUGAAACGCUGUAUUUUCUUGGUUUAUGUAGUAGUGUCCUUCUAUUUUAAUUGACUUAUUGCAAAGAAGUUGCAUUCUUUCCUAUUGCUCGUCAAAGAAACUGAUGUGCUUGUGGUGAUUCAUAUAAAAUGUGGCUUGAUUUUGAGUGUUGUUGUUGUAUGUGUGCAUAUGUUCCAUAAAAAGUAGUCAUGCAUCUUUCAUGUUUUCACUCUUUUAGAUUUGACAGUUGGACAGUGCAAGUGGUACUUCGGAUUUGGACAAGUUAUGGAAGCCGCCACCAAAUCGGGACUAUGAACCCUGUGUUGCCCCAAGUCCAUAUUACGCAUGUGAGUAACCUUUGUUUUAUUCUUCAUUCCAGACAAGGGGAGAUAGUUGUGGUUAUCUGAGUGCUCAUAUUAGACUUUGAUGUGGCGCCAACUCUUAAUAAUGCACUAAUUUUUUUUCAGCUCCUCCGGAACCUCGUGGUUACCUGCUGGUUCAUGCAAAUGGUGGACUGAAUCAGAUGAGAGCUGGGGUUUGUUUCUCCUCCUAAGUCUGUUCAAAAGCAAUUGCAGUCUGCACAUUUCUUUCUUUCUUUUUGCCACAGGGACCUUUUUUUUUUCUUUUCAAAUAUCCUCUUUCUGUAUUCUUUUUCUCUUUGUGCUCCUUUUUUUCCUGGGGCUGGGACAGGUUAACAUUGAACCGUACUUUGCCUGAUCACGUUUUCAAAUAUUCAAAUUUGCAUUUAUUUGUUGAUGUUGCUUAAAUACUUGUGAAUCUUUAACAAGUCAGUUCCCUAGACUGCUAGAUAAAGUUUAUUUGUUUUGCCAAGAACAUAAGCAAAUUGUGCUCAGGAUUUUGAAAAGGCUUUAAUUGUUUCAGCACUAGGAAAGGAAAAGUUUAACUGCUCUGUGCUCACCCUCUGAAUCUAAUAGCUCUCUGUGAUCAACCAUUGAAACAGUUUGCUAAGAAUCUUUGUUUUGGUUACUGUUCUGCUUUUUGUGCUAUCCCAUAUUCAAUGUCAUGUAACUUUUUCGCCCCUGCUCAACUUGCACUUGUCUGACUAAUUCUAAUUUAUGUAGCUUAAGCUACAAAACCGGGACAAAGUUGUGCCAUGCAUAUGAUAUUGAACUUCUUCCAGGAUCUCUUUUCAAUAGCAAGCAAGUUAAGACAAAAGUGCUUUCUGAACUGAAGUUUGUUAACAUACACAGUGGGACUUAGCAUGGGAAAGUGAGAAUAAUUUUUUUCUUUUCUGUCCAGUUGCGCAAUGAAUGUGGAGUACAGAACUCCUACACAUAUAUAAGUAUAUACUUUUAAUGAGUGAAUGUUUAUUCCGGAACCAAAUUGGAAGUUGAAGAACCUGAUUAAUGCUAAUUGCAGAUAUGUGACAUGGUUGCUGUUGCUCGUAUUAUAAAUGCAACUCUUGUGAUUCCAGAACUUGACAAACGCUCUUUUUGGCAGGACUCUAGGUACCUUUUUCCCCCCUUUCUUUUGUUUCAUUAGGACCAGAAUUGGUAAACUGUUCCUGGCACUUUAUUAUGUUAAUGUUAGUGGAUACACAUCUCACAUAACUAAAAUGUUCAUGGUAUAUUGACAUUUGAUUCUUUUAUCUUGAACUGCAGCAAUUUUUCUGAUGUCUUUGAUGAAGAUCAUUUCAUUAAUUCCCUGACAAAUGACAUAAGAGUUAUCAAAAAGCUUCCCAAAGAACUUGUGGCAGCUACUAGAGCGGUUAAGCACUUCAGAAGUUGGUCUGGUGUGGAGUACUAUGAGGAAGAGAUAGCUAGCAUGUGGGAAGAAUAUCAGGUGCAUAUUGUGGAAAUAUAAUUUGGUGGAUGCUGGUUUAUAGAUUGUUGUUUUGCUACUAAAUGUUUAAUAGUUGCAGGUCAUUAGAGCAGCAAAGUCUGAUUCUCGUUUGGCAAAUAAUAACUUGCCGCCAGAUAUUCAAAAGUUGCGUUGUCGUGCUUGUUAUCAGGCACUCCGUUUUGCUCCCACAAUUGAGGCAAUGGGAAAGGUUGUUUCCAGGCUGAAUGCUGCUUUAGUUUUAGUUGCUUUAUUUUUCUCGUCUAUGAUACUGAAUCAGCUUCUGUUUCUCAUAUAGUUGUUGGUCGAGCGAAUGAGGGCCUUUGGUCCAUACAUUGCUUUGCAUUUAAGAUACGAGAAGGAUAUGCUUGCUUUUAGUGGAUGCACGCAUGAUUUAUCCCAAGAAGAAGCUGAAGAACUAACGGCAAUUAGGUACGUCUUAUCAUGUACGAUUAUGAAGUGGUCCUUGUGCCUCUUUACUAAUGGCCUUCCCUGAUGCGUAUCCUAUUAAAUUUAUAGAGAAAACACUACCUGGUGGAAAGUAAAAGAGAUUGAUCCUAUAGAGCAGAGAGCUAAAGGUUACUGUCCAUUGACUCCAAAGGAGGUUGGGAUGUUCCUUAGUCUUCUUGGAUUUUCAUCAAACACCCCUAUAUAUAUUGCUGCUGGAGAGAUAUAUGGAGGUGAUUCCCGGAUGGCUGAUCUAAGGUCACGCUUUCCCUUAUUGAUGAACAAGGUAAAAUUAUAGAAAAAUGUCUUUAAUUGUAAAAGUAUGCUAUCCAGUUAAAAAUAGCCAUACAUGUGGAAUAGCAGAGUUUACAAUGAUCAUUGUAAAAGUGCAUUAUUCAGUUCAAGUCCUCCUGCCAAGAAAACGAAAGAAGAUUCUUACCUUUUGAUAUUCACCAAACUAAAUUUGGACUUCAAGUACAAAAAAAUUGGGGCUAGCAGAUUCCUUGUGAUAAGUUGAGAGAUGCCUUUCAUUUGCAUGAUUUUCCCCCUACCUUCUGAUGAAAUGCAGAUUGGUUUAGAUUUACUGUUCCUAUGCAGGAAACGUUGGCCACUUUUGAGGAGCUUGAACCAUUUACUAAUCAUGCUUCUCAAAUGGCUGCAUUGGACUACAUUGUAUCAGUUGAGAGUGACAUAUUCAUUCCUUCAUACUCUGGAAACAUGGCAAGGGCAGUGGAGGGACAUCGACGUUUUCUUGGGCAUAGAAAAACUAUUUUACCGGAUAGGUAAGGAUUUUGUCUAGGUUUUGAAAAUUUGCAUCUCACUUCCAGUUCCAGCAGGACUAAAACUGCUUUCGUAUAUAUCCGUUGAUUUAUCAGCAAAGCACUUGUUCGUCUUUUUGACAAAAUUGAGCUGGGGACGAUGAAAGAAGGAAAAAACGUGGCAAGUCGAGUCAUUGAGAUUCACAAAAGGCGGUAUGUUGAAGCAAAUAUCCCUUAUUUGGUGCAUAUUUUUAACUGGUAGUUUUAUGCUUGUCUUGUUUAACUGGUAGUUUUAUUAGCAUUAAGCAUCAGGAUUACGUUCUACAUGAAGAUCCAUUUCAUCUUUUAGAGUGCUUAUACAAUAAGUGCAUGAACGUAGAUGUGUAAAAAUUACUGUGCAAUUCAUAUCAAAUUUAGUGUGCAUUAAAUUACUAAUGUAACAGUGAUGAUCAUAGCAACUAGCAGUGAUGUGAAUUAUGAGCAUUCAGUUGCUCUGCGUCACAUUGAUGCUAUUAGAAACUUACUUCCAUAUGAAUAACAAAUUGGUUUUCGAUAUUUACGUUACUUGUCUAAUACUGAUUGCCAGGCAAGGAUCUCCGCGGAAGAGAAAAGGCCCAAUUUCUGGAACGAAGGGGACUGAUAGAUUUCGGUCAGAAGAGGCAUUUUAUGUGAACCCGUUGCCAGAUUGUUUAUGUCAGAAGGAAUCUCGAUAUACAAACAGUUCAAGAAUCAGAAGGUAGCCAAUGAAGUGCAGAACACAUUCUUCUGGUUCUUUUAUGGCUUUGGGUGUGCAUCAACGCCACAAUGUGCAUGUAAUUAUUUAUUGAAGAUCGGGCCAUUGGUGCCACCAUUUAUAGAUCAUCGGAUGUGCAUAGGCUUUUUACACAGAUCCAGGGAGACUCUUGACUGAUAGAUAUACGCAUAAACCAUUUGCAACGAUUGCAGAAGAGAGAUCAUUUUAGGUCGGCACUUAUUUUGUUCAGCAUAGGAUUUGUUUGUUCAGCGGAGUAUAGGAGAGGAGGCAUUUGUAAAAAGUGAUCAAUAGGCAAAGUCAAUGUAAGCAUUCUGUUCGUUUACAAUAAAGCUACGCUUUUGGUGUAUUAGCCAUUCUUGGAUAUUCAUCCAAUGCAAUAAAAAAUGGGAGAUCAUUUUUCACUUCAAAUAACUUGAUUGAUUCUUAAACUGCCUUUUCGUUUUCUGUUCAGAUUCCCAGGGGAGUAAAGGGUUUUUCUUCUGAUCUUGUGGCUAACAUUUUGCUCCUCUUUCACUGUAUUAUUUUCCUCUUGCAAAGUUGGCAAAUGGGCUAAUGUCCUUCAUGCAUGGUUUUGAGCUAGGUAUCCUUUUCUGUUUAUAACUUUUUAUUUUUUUUUUCGCCAAAUAAAUUGAAUCACACGCUUAAUUCUAGGUUUUUCCAGCCUUCGAACAUGAAUUACUAAUAGAUCUACCUAACUUAGAAAAGAGAAAAAGAAAUUACUCCAUGGAUCCAAUGGCACCGUUGCUUUGGUGAAUUGCGAAGACAAAAGAGUCCUAAAUCUUGGAAAUUCGCGUAAUUGACAAAAGUCUUGCAGUUAUCUGAUAUCACAGCUUAUCAAUUGAAUUUGACAAUUACCAGCUAAAAUUAAAAAAAAAAAAAAAAAAUUUACCCUCUUCUUUGUUAGAUUUUCUUUUUUUCCUCCCCAUGUGUUAGACAUUGGUUAUUAUACUUUAUCUUCAUCAUUUUUUGAGUUUUCUGUUUUUUUUUCAUUCUUUUCCAGUUUGGUGCAUAUCUAAAGUUGAGGAAAUGAAAGUUUUAUAGGAUAGGAGGAUAACUAGAUACCACAGCGCAUUUAGAUAUGAUGAUGAGGACAUUGUACAUAGUCACACGUCGCCCCCCAAUUGGCCCCGUAAUAAUACAAUAUCCUUUGCACCUUCCUCUUCGCUACUUCACACACUUCACAUACAUAGACAGAGACACUACUAUCCAUCCCUCCCUCUGGAAGAAACUGCGAGAAAGAUCAAGUGGGGAUGGUCUCCUUCGUCUCAACCGUCCCUUCUUUCCUUGCAGUAGUUCCUGCACCAUCCAGCACCACCUCCAGACACCCCGUUAAUGUUGUAAGUACAUAGCAGUCUGCAUUAAUUUGUUGCGCUGAAUAAGUUUCGAUUUUUUUCUGUUUUUGUUUUUUGUUUUUUCCACCACUACACUCAGCUUUCUUUCUUUUUUUCUUAGUGUAAAUGGAAAGACUCGAAUCUGAAACCUCUCACUUACACUCCUUCCCCCGAACCACCCAACCCAUGGUGUACUCAGCUUAAUUACUUUGAUAUCUGUUGCAUUUAAAGCGAAACUGUCCAUGCAUGCUUGGUUGCAAUCAGGAGCACUUUUAUUUGUUGUUUCUCUUUCUCACAUUCUUUUUCUUUACCGCUAUGACUAUAUGUUGGACCCUGUCAAUAUAAUAAUGCUGUUUUUAUUCUGUCCAGAAAUGGCUACAAUGUAGUACUCCAUAUCUUAGUUUCAAGACUUUGUUGUAUUCAGGGCAUAGUUUGCUGCAAGAUUGAAGUGGAUAAUGUGCAACGACAUGGCUUUCGUAGGCGAGAUAUGCUGCACGGCAUUGGUGCUACUAUUGGCAUGGUGAGAUUCUUUCGUCUUACAUUUGUUCAGAGUUUCCAUGUUUGAGUUGUUGGCUUCUAAGUUUUGAUUGUAUAGUUUACUUUAGAAGCUUAUAUAUUCUUGCUAACAUUCCUAAAAGAAACUAGCUGCAGGGAUCAUAUUUUUCACAUACAUACCAGUGAGAUAUUGUACUAGAGCAAGGUAUGCUGAUGAUAGUCAAAAUGUGUGCGCAAUUGGAAAAAAGUGCAUUGUAAAACUCUAUCAAACAAGCUGGAAAAAUUUAAGUUCUUUUCUAGUAAAGGAAUGGCUUUUGUUUCUUUAAGCGUGAUUUGAUGAUGAGUUUCCAUCAGUUAUAAUUUUCCCGUAGGACGUAAUGGCCAGAUCCUGCUUAUAUGUUGAAGUGGCCAAUGCGGCUGACUUGAUACAACGGAGACAGCGUUCAGAGUUUCAGUGUGAGCUAUCCAUACUCGUGUAAUUUUGUAAUCCACUUUGUUUUCUCUCCUUCAUUGGAUGAACUUCUUGUGGCCUUUUCCUUUUCCUUCUUAGCAAGCGUCAAGGCUACCCUCGCUACAGCUAUAAAGGUAAAAAGAAUUGAAUUCAUGAUGUUUAUUAUGUCACGUGAAUGGAUUAAGCUUAUGUCAAUGAGCAAUUUAUCACUUCUAUGGUCUGUGUCUUUCUCCAGGGGAAUCCAGAUCUCAUUCCACCCAUAUUGACUUUAGCACUUAAUGAUUCUGUGACUUAUGAUAAGGUCAGCGUUGAGUUUUGUAAAUUGCAUACAUUUAUUCAAUGGAAGCACAAAUGACUUGCUUAUUCAUAAUUGCUUUACAGAGUACAAAAUCUGGCGGUCCAAAUGGAUCAAUUCGUUUCAGGUAGUUGUAAUUUCCAUAUUGCAGGGUGCUAUUUUUGGCCUCAAUCUAGUCGUAUGGGUUUAUCUUACCUGGAAUUCCUACUUGAAUAGUGAAGUAUCUUAUGACUUUUGAGUUGUUCAGUCAGUGUAUCCAAUGUUAAUAUUCCAUGUGCUACAGAUGCUUGCUACUUUGAUUUUCUCCAUAAAGGCAGAUAAACUCUGAAAUCUCUAGUAUCCAUUAACUCAAAAUUGGAUAGGAAAAUAGAAAAAUAUGGAUAGCUAAGUUUCUAAACUUGUUUUCUGAUUUUCUCAACUCCAUAGUCUUAAGCACUUUAACUUCUUGCUUAGAUAAGCCAGAUAGCCGUAUUCAUCUUAUUUUUUAUUCCCUUGAUUGAAGCUCAGAGAUCAGCAGACCAGAAAAUAAGGGCCUUGCGGCUGCAUUGAACCUGUUAGAGGAAGCCAAAAAGGAGAUUGAUUCAUAUUCCAAAGGGGGACCAAUCUCAUAUGCAGAUCUGAUACAAUAUGCAGGUGAGGCAUAUAGGUUGAACAUGGUUGAACUUCAGCAUUUUAUUGCACCGCACCAUUAUAUUUGAACAGCAUUCAAUGUUAAACAAACUCCAACUGACAAUUUGCUCCAUUACCAGAAUAAUACUUAAAAAAAGCUGUUAUUCAAAAAUAUUGAACUAUGAUAGAGCAUAAAAAAGAAGAAAAUUAUUAGCUUUCUGAAAGCAUGGAGCUUUUUACAUAACUAGAAAAAGCUAUGUACAGUUAGCAAGUGCACAUCCUAAGUACAGAGUCCAGAUUCAGAGUACAAUAUUGCAAACUGCCAUUAAAGAUGAAAAGCAAAAUGAAAGUGUCAAGUUAGUCUAGGAAUUUAUUCAGAUGCCUCUAACAAAAAUGGAUAUUAGUUGAUCACUUUUCUUCACUGCUAUCAUUUGCUAAACACAAAUAUUCAAAUCUUUUCAUGUUAUUGCCUCAAUGUUCCUUUCUUAAUUUGAUUUGCUUGCUUGGUGCAGCGCAAAGUGCAGUAAAAUCUACCUUUCUAGCUGCAGCCAUUAAAAAAUGUGGUGGCAAUGAAGAAAAAGGCAAUUUGUUAUACACUGCAUACGGGUCAAAUGGACAGGUUAUUUUUGUGUAACCCCAGAUUGCAUAUCACAAAAGCAUUUAUCUUUAUUUUACCUUUUUGGUAAACUGGAGUCCAAAUAAAUAUUCUAGAGUAUUAAAAAUUAGUUGCUUCAAUCUUUUCUUUUCUCAAUGCAUAUCUCAAGCACCCUGAAAUUUCAUCUGUAUAGGUGAAGCACCUGCAAAGAUUAAAUUGAAUGAUACAUAUAGCUUUAUCUCUGUGGUGAAUUCGUUCUUGAAGUUGGAACUCCUCUGAAAAAAACUGCUCCAAGCAUGAUAAAAGUCGCAGAAUAGAAACUUUCACACACUCUUGGAAAAGUUAGCAUUUGUUUCAUUACUACCAAUUCAGUGCAAUAAUGUACAUGGCCCAGAAACUUUGCUGGGCAGCUCUUUUCCUAGUUGUCAUUACCAUAGGAAGAAUGAUGAACUACUUAUCAAUCAUUGCCUGCGCAACUUUUAAAAUGCGCCAUGUUUGUUUUCCUGCAUUUAAAUGUUGAAAACAAUGAAAAUAGCUCUACCUGAUGAUCGUGCACUUUCUCCAUAAAGUGGGGCCUGUUUAAUCGGGAAUUUGGGCGGUCAGAUGCCCAAGAACCUGAUCCAGAGGGCAGGGUACCUCAGUGGGAUAAAUCAAGUGUUCAGGAGAUGAAAGAUAAAUUCACUGCUCUCGGCUUUGGUCCACGUCAGGUACAUUGAGUUUCAGUUAAAACAAAGACAAAAGGAAACUGGCAGUCUGUUAUCUUCAAAUAUAUCAUGCACAUUCCCCUAUUUGUUUUUUGAACUGUAGUCAUGUAAGCUUUAGGCUUCUUGUUGAAGAAACUACUCAAUGAAUCUUCCCUUUCCUCCUCUCCAUUAACAUACACAUUUUGCAAGAUGCCUAUUACAUUUCUAUCUAGUUAUUGUCAUAUUGAUCUUAGAAAUUCAGAAAUCCCAAAUUUGCCCAGUUGGUUUACCCGUAUAGUUGUAUCCUCUGCAUUUGAAUACCACUCUCCUCUAUUGCAAAAGUAUUUUAGGGGAAAAAAGAGGUUUAUUUCUGAUCACACAGUCAUAUUCAUGUCAUGUUGCCCAGCUGGCUGUUAUGUCUGCAUUCCUGGGGCCUGAUCAGGCUGCAACCGAAGCUUUGCUAGCAACAGAUCCAGAUGUUUCUCCAUGGGUUCAGAAAUAUCAACGCAGCCGAGAGACCGUGUCUCAAACCGACUACGAGGCAAGGACCAUGUCCCUUUUUCUUCUUCUUAUACAAGAAAAUUGAUUGACAAGUGUAGCUAGAGAAGUAUUUGGCUGAGCAUCUGUGUUAAGUACCAUAUCAAAGAAAUGUUUAGCAAGUUGAUAAUUUACAAUUUGACAGGCUCAAGAUCACGCACCAAAUCGGUUGUCUUUCUUCAGGCAAACUUGUUGGUAGUUAAUUUAUCCUCUGGAACUAAUCCAUCACAAAUAGGUUUUGAUGAUACACAUUGAUCGUGAAGCUGUAUGUUGUGACAAGAAAUGCUUGCAAGUUAUUGAUUCUUGCUUAAGCUGCAUGUCCAUGAUGUAUGCUGACAGUGGUAUCGGUUGUUUUUUCAGGUUGACUUGAUAACAACUCUCACAAAACUGAGUUCUUUGGGCCAACAGAUCAACUAUGAAGCAUAUACCUAUCCUGUCCAGAAAAUUGAGUUGAGCAAACUCAAACUGUAAACGUGACCGCCAAUUUCAGCGUAUCGGGUUCAAAAUAUUGGCAGGAAUACCACUUGUUUUAAACCAAAUAGGUUUUGCAGACUUGCUUCCACAUUUUUCAGAUAGCAGAGUUUGAUUUGCCGCAGGACAUGGCUGAACAAAUUACUGCUUUUUGCCAAAUUAGCAAACUUUACGUAAUCUAGUCUCCUGGCAUUGAUUAAUUUGUUGCUUUGUGGCAUGUAUAAGAUGGUUAUUAUUUUCGUCUUGUUAUCAUUUGCUACUCACACUUGAAUAAUGUAUUUUGAUGCGGUAAUACUCUCAAAUCCUCUCUUCAACUCCUGCCUUCAGCAUAUAGGGGAUGCGUAAACAAAAGCUGAUAAGAAGGAAAAGGUAAAUGAAGAGACAAUCUUGAGAAAGAACUGCAGGCGGAGACAGCAAAUUUAUCCUACUUUGGAACAACCAUUUUUUUUUUUUUUGAGUAGUUUAAGAUAAAAGUCCGAUAACUACAUCUUUUUUCAAUUUCCCAGGUAGUAUAAAUUUCACUCAUCGUACUAGAAAACUGGUAAAAUGUCGAAAUUAGUCAACUUUUACAAUGUCAAGAAUGGAAAAAGUAUGUAUAUAUUGCAAAGUUAUCCUAUUUAUAUUUGUAGGAGAUUACGUGAAGCCCACCCAUGAAAGGCCUUAAUAUCUCAGGUAUAAUAACGGAGCCAUCUUCUUGCUGAUAGUUUUCAAGCAAGCAUAUAAUCAUCCGUGGAACUGCACAAGCUGUGGCGUUUAGCGUAUGCACAAAUUGUGUGGGAGCGGAAUUGCCUUUGCCCUUUCUGGGACUCGACGAUGAUGACUCUGGUCGAAAUCGAAUUCCCAGUCGUCUACUUUGAUAAUCUGUACAAUUUGAUGCACUUGAAAUCUGUUCAUCAAUGCAACAAACUAGCUCAGAAGAUCCUAAAACGCAACAGCAAAAAAUAUGGACGAAAGGCUAAGAGAAUCAGUGGAUGCCGGAUGGAAUGUUAUGCAUUGUAAAACUGCAGCUUAGAUGUCUAAGCAGCUAAUUAGACUAUAGUUGAAAUACUAGAUUCUUGGCGGCUAAAGAAAGCAAGAAUAAUGCCCAGACCUCGCCAUAACGUUCCAAACCAGGCAUCCAUGCCUCCACAUCAAAUUUCCUGUAAGCUGGGGCACCUAAAUCCUCUGAUGCCAUAUCCAAUGUCCUGAGAAAUGCAUUGACAUGUAAAGAUUGAUGAAUGGUGAAUUCGCUGAACUCUUGGGAACAUAAAGAUGUUUAUAGGCACAACAGAACUGCAAGUAGAAUUAGAAUCGCACUUAAAAUGAAGUCCUAGUGAUGAAUAAAGGCUUUCUUCAAUUUCAAUCAGUUCCUGAUGGAAAGAAUCACUUUCUUCUGGUCGGCAUAGUACAAACAUCUCCACCUUGCUGAAUUGGUGAACCCGAUAGAGACCCCUGCUCCAAUAAUAUAGCCCAAUGAUUAAUUUGAUGUGAGAACAAAAUAAAUUACAUGACAUGAAGUUUUUGGCAUUAUAAUCUAUAACUUCAGUUGUAAAAUAUCCCAGUUUAGCAAGAAGUCUGAUUAGACCCCCAUUUUAAAAUUAAAAAAAUUAGUGCUUUGCAACUGAAAUUACACACUGAAAUUCAACCAAAAGAAGAAGUCCUCAAAAAAGUUUUUUAAAAAGAUAAAGCACGAAACGAGCUGAUUAAAGGAUUUUUAGAUAAUUGCCCAUUCAUCCUCUCAUUUUGUGCUCGUCAUGUCCGCAAUACCAUUCUCCUCGGUUAAAGUUCACUUGUAAAGUUAAGGAGAAAACGUUGAACAAAUCAUUAAAGCAAAAUUAAACAAUGAAUGAAACAAUAUUAAUUACCAAGAACAAGAGAUCAACACAAGGCACAACACUUUAUUUCAAGAGCACAACAAUGGAAAUUUUACUGCAAAUCAGAGGCAAGAACAAUAUCAUCUUCAAUGGAAAGAUUUGUUUAUUACCUAGUUGCAAUGCCUGCAGCACCAGCUUCAGUGCGAAAGCAAUGGGAGAAAGCUACAUACUUCAGAGGUAAAGAUGACUCUAAAAGAAUUGAAUCCAUGUGAAUUCCUCCUAGCGGAAUCUCUGCGGUGCCAAUAAGGCAUUGAUCACCUCCCUCAAUUGAGUAAACCUAUCAGUAUUUGUUAAAAUUAAAAAUGAUAAAUAAAUCCACUGAACUUCAUGUCCUGUCUAUGAAACACUAUCAACAUAAACACAUGGAUGUUGCAACUAAGAAAAAAGAAAACUUUGAAGGAAAUAACCAGAUCCUUUUCCCAGAUUUGGACAAUUCAACAAUGGAGGUCAUUUGUAUUGGCACCAUCUCUAAUCACCUGAGUAUUUGUUCCACGUGGUUGAAAACCACAUUUUUCCACAACAGAGGACCGGACAAUCUCUGGUGUUGUGAGAGGUGUAAAGCCUCUUUUCAUUACUUCUGAGACUGUCCAGUUUACAAGGCCCAUUUCUAACAGAACAGCUUCAUUCUUUAGGUAAUAGAAUUUUGAUCCACUGACCUGCGAGAAACACAUAAUAUAUACAUGAAUGCAAAAGUAGUGCACCAGUAAUCAAGUUCAAACAUCAUUUGUGCCAUGCAACUAUGGAAUGAUUGAAGACAUAAUAGCACAGGCACCAAAUUUUGACGGUUAAAAAAAGACCAGCCAAAAUCAGGUGUAUCGUGCAAACUAUAAGUAUGUGCAAAGAUAUGAUUAUCCAGCAUGUUCUGUGCCAUGUAUAAUUCUACAGGAUAUGCUUAAUUUGUAAGUUCCAAAUUUACAGUGCAUAGGGGAAUUGGAUUAUCUGAGAUGACAAAAACAAAAUCUGCAUUCUUUGACUGUGUUGAACCCAAUAAUAAGCAUUUUUCCCACUAGGCUCACCCCCCACUCUUCCACAAAGGCAGAAAUAUCACAUAAACUGGAAGAAGCAUGCAAAAUAGUGCACAACCAACUCUUUCUACACCCUAAAAACCUUGAAUAUGAGACUAUUUGAGAGGGGAAGCACAUUAUUACAGCAACAACUGGAAAAAAAAGGGAGAGUAUAGUGCACAAAGAUUAUAAACAGACAACAGACAGAAUAAAGCAUAAAUAGCAACUAUUUUUCUAUGGCCAUCUUUGCAAGGAAAAGGAGCUUCAGCACGUUGACAAGAAACAAAGAUUAUAUGUUACUUGAAUUGCAACCACGCGCAACUCAGGGUCAGAAACCUGUAAAUCACACUCUGGAGGUCCUAAAGUCUUGUCUUCAUGGAAGAUAGGAAGCAGGGUGCAAUAUGCAAAUAACUGAUGAUAGAGUAAUUAAACACCUUAGAUUAGAGUGAAUACCUCAGCGGCAGCAUCAAAAUCAAACAGAUCUAGGUCUUUUCCAAGUUGUGCAUGGUCCUUUAUUGGGAAACUGAACUUACGAGGCUCACCAACCUACCAGAAGAUAUUGAGAAGUCAAAGAAUGAGCCAAAAAGAGAAAGCAGCAACAAAGUGAUUCUAGGACUCAGCGAAGAAGUGUAUAACCAUUUUCCUCAAAGUAGAGGCAUCUUCACCUCCCACCGGAACAUCUGGAUGCGUCAUAUUUGGUAUAGAUUGUGCUUCCUUCUGAAGUUCAUCAGUAAGCUUUAACAAAUCUUCUUCCAAAGUAACAAGCCCUUCCUUUAAGUUCUUUCCUAUAGAAAAAUUUCAAGGCAGAUUGAAUCAUAGUAUUACCAGCUGAAAGAUUCCAGGAGGGAAUAUGAUGCAAACCUUCUUCUAUGAGUUUCUGACGCUCAGAAGGCUCUAAUUUUCCUUUCAUCUUGCUUGCAACCACAUUUCUCUCUGCUCGAAGCCUUUCAACUUCCUGUUAUCUGUGAUCAAAUUAGCUAAAAUUGAGAAGAAACCAGCAUGUAGUAACUUUGUUUAAUCGAAGAAUCAGAAGAGAAACUAAUAGCAUUCAAUGACAUCAAUGUCAAUAGGAAGAUUAACAAUUGAAAAGGUGAUUUUUCACAUCCCAAACAGAAAGAUCAAAAUUAUAUAUUAAACAACAGCAGCACCAAUCCAACUGAGGGGAAAAAGAAGUUAAUGCUGUUAAUUGGCCCAAUCCAAAAAUUAGCAUUGCAAUGAAGCGAAAAUUUGCAACAAGAAAACGCAUGACAAAAAUAUAUAUUAUGUAAAAAAGGUUCCCUAUAUAGAUGAAAAGAUAGAAAGCCUUACCUUUUGAACAUUCAACAACUUGUCAUAAAGCUCAAGAACAAGUUCCAGAUUAGCAUUGGAGUUCCUAAUCCUUAUAUUGGUUGCCACGGCCUCUUUAUUCUCUCUUAUCCACUUGAAAUCAAUUGCUGCUUUCCAUUGAGGCUUCACCGCUAAAGAUUAAAAAAAACCCACGACAAAGACUCAAUUUUUUUCCCAAAACAAAGCACAAAAUUUGAUGCACAAAACCAUAUAGGUGAGUUGAAGUACUGCUAACCUUUGUUGCUAUCCUUGGCGGGGGCUGAGACCGCAGGAGGGAUGGUGGUUUGGGUGGCGGUAGAAGAGAAAGCUCUGGCGAACAAGAAAUGGCGGGGAGUUGGAAAAGAGAUGGUGGUGAUGGUUCUGAUUUUGGGGAGUGGAGAGAGGGAGACUGACGAGGAGAAGGAGGAAGAGCAGGGGAUUGUAGCCAAUUUUAACGUUUGAAAAUUGGUUUUAGUUAAACAACAAUGGAGUCCCAUUUUUUUCUGCAGGAUGGAGCUAAGUUUGAACCGGCAGUAGCAAGAAAGGGGUGGCUUUUAUCCAAGGCCUCCUUUGGGAAUUUUAUGAGGGGAAAAAAAAGGACCAGAGAAGAUGUGAUAGUAAGUAGUCGACUAGUAGUAAAAGAGUAAAAAAGGAGACAGAUGUGAACUGUUAUCUGAUAUCUGUUCAGUCCAAAGGAAAAAUGGAGUUUGAUUUUCAUUUUGUUCUUGUAAAAGUACAAAAAUUGGUAACUUGAAAACGUCGAUAAGCUUCACAUAAUUUUGCUUCCCAUUGAAAUAAAUGCAUACAAUUGCAUGUUUAGGGGAAAACAAAGUGCUUUGACAUUCUUUUGUGUAAGAGUUUCUAUAAUUAUGCAAAAACAAAAAAACUAUCACAAAACGUUUUAACAACUAAAUGAAUUAGAUUCAACUCGUAAAUCUUUUCAAGACCACUUAAAUUUUUUGCUACUCAAUUUUUUCAACAAGGUAUAUGAAAAUGUGAUUCAUUGUUUGAAUGGUUAAAGCUUUCAAAGCUGCAUGUCUUAAAUGUUGCAUGAGGCUUUAUGCAUCUUCUGCUCUCUAGUUGCUUUUGUAGUUUGUGCAUUUCGUUUGGGUUUCUGGAUGUUUAUCAAAUGGUAUAGUGAUUCAACAGUUGUUUCUUUGGUUUCUAUAGCCAAAUUUGUAGAGAAUAUUGAGCAACAAUUAACUAAGUGACCAUUAGGAUAGUAUUACAAAUUGUGCUCCAUGUAUAAGAAUUUCAGUUGGGGUAAGUUUUGGAGUGAAAAUUGAUUAUGUCGUUCAGAACCCUCAAGAUGUUAACAUGGGAGUAAAGUGUACAUUACCUGGGUAUUGGGGGGCAAAGUGUUACUCACUCCCCAAGUUCAGGUGGAUAAGUGUAAUUAACCCCAUAAAAAGCUGUUUCGAUAUUAGAACCAUGCUUUCUAAACUUAUGUUAAUUUUUGCAUUUUGGUUCCAUCAUUGCGUGACGAAAACAAGCAAUGAAGCAAACCAAAUUCGUUUUGGAAUGGGAGGGUACUUGACGAUAACUCCAUAAGCAAUCUGUAUACAUCUACUGAGAUUCAUGCAUCAGUCUGCUUUCUCAUGUCACUGGUCUAGAAAAUCUAGCAUGGUAACUACCAAAUAGUUCCACAAGUUCUAAUAAGCUUUAUUCUGUGACACGUAGAAAAAUCGUUUGCCCAGCAAGAAGUUCUAACCGGGCAUCCGCCCAAUGAUUCAUCACUGUUACAAAUGU
rnacentral:lncRNA from 1 species